AAACUAACAAGGAUUCCCCUAGUAACGGCGAGUGAAGAGGGAAGAGCCCAAGAUUGAAAGCUGGCGUCUUCGGCGUCCGCUUUGUAAUCUAAAGAAGUGUUUUCCGCUUCGGACCAUGCCUAACUCCCUUGGAAAAGGGCAUCAUAGAGGGUGAUAAUCCCGUACAUGGCAUGGCACCGCCCGAAGCUUUGUGAUACGCUUUCUAAGAGUCGAGUUGUUUGGGAAUGCAGCUCAAAAUGGGUGGUAAAUGCCAUCUAAGGCUAAAUAUUGGGGAGAGACCGAUAGCGAACAAGUACAGUGAUGGAAAGAUGAAAAGAACUUUGAAAAGAGAGUUAAACAGUACGUGAAAUUGCCAAAAGGGAAGGGUAGGAGGUCAGAGAUGCGGCCUGGGAUUCAGCCUUGCUUUUGCUUGGUGUUUUUCCCAGAUUGCAGGCCAACGUCGGUUUUGGGCACUGGAGAAGGGUAGGAGGAACGUGGCACCUCUCGGGGUGUGUUAUAGCCUCCUACUGGAUACAGCGACCGAGACCGAGGACAGCAGCGUACUCGCAAGAGCGGGCCUUCGGGCACCUUUACGCUUAGGGCGUUGGCAUAAUGGCCCUCUACCACC
rnacentral:rRNA from 1 species